UACGAAGGGGGCUAGCGUUGUUCGGAAUUACUGGGCGUAAAGCGUGCGCAGGCGGUUUUGCAAGUCAGAUGUGAAAGCCCCGGGCUCAACCUGGGAAUUGCAUUUGAAACUACAAGGCUAGAGUGUGUCAGAGGGGGGUAGAAUUCCACGUGUAGCAGUGAAAUGCGUAGAGAUGUGGAGGAAUACCGAUGGCGAAGGCAGCCCCCUGGGAUAACACUGACGCUCAUGCACGAAAGCGUGGGGAGCAAACAGG
rnacentral:rRNA from 1 species